rnacentral:rRNA from 1 species
AUGAGCCGCCGCCGUUUCUCGCCGGCGCCGGCACCCCCGCUAGAAGACGAGGACCUUCUCCAGGAGAUCCCCAUGCGCCUUCCUCCUCAGCCAUCCUCCCUCCCUCGUGCGUCUGCCGUAUGCAAGCGCUGGCGCAGCAUCCUCUCUGACCCCCAAUUCGUCCAACGCUUCCGCAAACACCACGGGAAACCCCCGCUAAUCGGCUUCUUCAACCAAAGUUAUACCGUAGUCUGCGACUUCAAUCCCAUCCUGGAAGCGCCUGACCGCGUCCAUGCCAAUCGUCUCUCGGUGCCAAAGAGACAAAGCUCCAUGGGGAAGUGGCGUUUCAUGGGCUGCCGCAACGGCCUUGCCGUCCUGGUCAACGGGGGUCGGCGUGAGGCCGUCGUGUGGGAUCCUCUCACCGGCCAGCAACAUCGUGUGCCUUUUCCACCGGGGCUUCACGACGUUACAACGAGUAGUUUCUAUGCCUGGCAUGCCGCGGUGCUUUGUGCUAAUGCCGAAGAUGGGCACGUGCACGGAGAUUGCAUCAGGGGGCCGUUCAAAUUGGUCUUGAUCUGCAACAGAUACGAGCAGGCAUUUGCUUCUCUC